rnacentral:rRNA from 1 species
GAUGAACGCUGGCGGCGGGCCUAACACAUGCAAGUCGAACGGUAACGAAAUGAAUUCUUGCUUUGGCAGGAAGUGAGUGGCGAACGGUGGCGGAAGGGUUAGGAACCCUACACUAACCUGGGGCUUACCAAGGGAAAGCUCGGGGAAACCCGGAUUAAUACCAUUGAAAAUUGCGUCGAAGCAUUUCGAUGCUUUCAAAGCUACGACGGGAAGAGAUGGCCUCGCGUCGCAUUAACCAGAGGGGGUGGGAACGGCUCACCAUAGUAGCGAUGGGUACCCGGCCUGGGAGGGGGAACACUCACACUGGAACUGAGACACGGACCAGACUCCUACGGGAGGCAGCAGUGGGGAAUAUUGCACAAUGGAGCGGACUCUGAUGCAGCGACGCUGCGGGAGUGAUGAAGGAAUUCGAGUCGUAAAACUCUGUUCUAUGGGAAGAAAAUGACUGUACCAUAGGAGAAAGCUCCGGCUAAAUACGUG